GAUAUUGGGCGUAAGGGCUCGCAGGCGGUUUCUUAAGUCUGAUGUGAAAGCCCCCCGCUCAACCGGGGAGGGUCAUUGGAAACUGGGGAACUUGAGUGCAGAAGAGGAGAGUGGAAUUCCACGUGUAGCGGUGAAAUGCGUAGAGAUGUGGAGGAACACCAGUGGCGAAGGCGACUCUCUGGUCUGUAACUGACGCUGAGGAGCGAAAGCGUGGGGAGCGAACAGGAUUAGAUACCCUGGUAGUCCACGCCGUAAACGAUGAGUGCUAAGUGUUAGGGGGUUUCCGCCCCUUAGUGCUGCAGCUAACGCAUUAAGCACUCCGCCUGGGGAGUACGGUCGCAAGACUGAAACUCAAAGGAAUUGACGGGGGCCCGCACAAGCGGUGGAGCAUGUGGUUUAAUUCGAAGCAACGCGAAGAACCUUACCAGGUCUUGACAUCCUCUGACAAUCCUAGAGAUAGGACGUCCCCUUCGGGGGCAGAGUGACAGGUGGUGCAUGGUUGUCGUCAGCUCGUGUCGUGAGAUGUUGGGUUAAGUCCCGCAACGAGCGCAACCCUUGAUCUUAGUUGCCAGCAUUCAGUUGGGCACUCUAAGGUGACUGCCGGUGACAAACCGGAGGAAGGUGGGGAUGACGUCAAAUCAUCAUGCCCCUUAUGACCUGGGCUACACACGUGCUACAAUGGACAGAACAAAGGGCAGCGAAACCGCGAGGUUAAGCCAAUCCCACAAAUCUGUUCUCAGUUCGGAUCGCAGUCUGCAACUCGACUGCGUGAAGCUGGAAUCGCUAGUAAUCGCGGAUCAGCAUGCCGCAGGUGAAUACGUUCCCGGGCCUUGUACACACCCCCCGUCCUGCACGAGAGUUUGUAACACCCGAAGUCGGUGAGGUAACCUUACACA
rnacentral:rRNA from 1 species